AAAAUAACUAAAUUCACUAACUGACCACUGCAGGAAACAUAACAGCAAAAGACUCUAUGAUCCACCUGCAUAAAAUUGACUGGAAGGCACCGGCCCACUGAUCCCUCCUAACCUGCACUUCAUUAGGAACACGAUGGAUUUAAAAGUGGCCAAGUUGAGCUGUGGACAAGACAACACUGCCACAAACUGACUGUGAACUAGAUUACCUACAUGUAGCAGCUUUCACCAACACUAUUCCUCUCACCACGGAUCUUGAGAUUUAAAAAGUAGAUGCUUCUCCAGAAUUCUUUUUU